GUAAUUUGGGUGUUGUGCUGCAGAGUUAAUGAAUGUAGCGCUGGAGAAAGGAGCUGCACUGGCAGCUUGGGAAUGAACUCCCUGCUCGUUCCCUGAAGCAAGGCAGGGAGGCUGAGCCUGACACUUUUCCUUCCAGGCUCAGCUGAGGAUGCUGUACAAGAGGGAUGGAGACCUGGGCUGAAAUCACAGUUGUGGCUGAUAAUUACAAUGGUUAGGAACGUGGCUGCUGUCAGAAACCUUUGGAAACGUUUCAGAAAUACUGGCAAACGACUAUUUGUGUUUUUCCAGCUGAAGAAAAUCAGUUGUAUGUGAAAGAAAGUGAUCCUUCUCCCAGUUCUACGUUCGGGCUGAAAUCCUGGAAACAACUCAGGCUCACCAAAUGCAGCAGCAUCAGCCCAGCACAGCCAUUGACAGAUGUCACCUCUUUGUCACCUGCCUGUGCCUCUGGUGCUCCAGCAGGAAGGUUUGGGCUGAUGAUGGUGAGACACCUCUUCAAACCCAGGUCACACCCUUCUCUGUGGUUGUUACCACUGCUCAAACUCUUCGUUGUGCUUCUAGAAAUGCUGUGAUCCUUUUGAAAUGGGGGUCAGACAUUUGCUUGGUCUCAUUCCUGCAAACCUUUCCCAGCAUCAGAGGCGCCCCUGGCUGCUCAGUCAUUCCACACACUCAGAGCUCACCUGGACAAAAUCUCCAUCCUUUAAAUGGUUUUCUCCAUUAGCAACACCAGGUGAUGGGGUUUUCCCAGCAUGGGAAGUGAAGGGUGACUGUGCACGUGUAAUUCAAGGGAACAGCUUUGGGGAAACAUCAGCCAGAGGAAGGAGGAAAAGAAAUUUGAAUUCAAUUGGAUUUUAGUAACUUCAGCUUGGGUUUGAAUCAUAUUUACAUGCUUCUCUCUCUCUCUCUCUCCUCUGUUUGCAAGUUUUAUUGCUAUGGUUCUUGUGUCUUGGAGCGAUGUGAAUUGGUGGGUUUGUUAUUGCUGAGAGGGAGGGGAGCUGCAGCAGCAAGGAAUGAGAUGAUUCCCUGGAGUCCUACACAGCAAAAGUGUGGAAAACCUGGAGCUGAACCCAGAUCCCAGGAGACACCCAAUGGCCCCAGAACGGAUGGUGUGGUGGGCCAGGAGCUGCCAACAGGAAGCUCAAGUCGAGGUUUAAAACUCAAUUACAUGAAGGAUGUGAUGGGAAUGGGGACAUUUAGGGCAAAAUCCUCCCUGCCUCGCACGGAGACCCAGGAGCUUUGCAGCUUUCCUGUUUCUGCUUCCAGCGGUGCCCAAAUGUGAGAAUUCUGUGCAGUUUGAGAGCGAGGAGGAAAGUGAGAAAUCAUUUAACAGCCCGAGCUCCAACGGGAGCAUCAGCAGGAGCUGGAUUGAUGGAAAUGCCCCAAAUUGAGGGUGGUUUCAGGGAGAUUGUUUUUAUUGUUGGUUGCAAGCUUUGGCUGAAAGCUUUUCUAAGUGAGUAUUUUGGGACAAGGCAAAGACUUUUCACAGGGUGAACCAAAGAUGAAAUUACAGGUUUUUAACAAGAACUGCACCCGUAAAUGAAAAAUAGGAUGUGGCACAGUUAAAAUAAGACCACGGUCCUGAAGUCUUUGGCUAUGUUCUUUAAGAUGUACUUUGGGGAUUAAUCAGCAAAUGAUUGUCCCAGCAAUUUGGCUCAGGUGGGUUUUUGCUCAUUGCAGCCUCAGGUUACACACUCAUUGUCAAUUAAAUCAUUUCAAAUAAUGCAGCUGUUGAAGCUGCCUGGCCUGGCUCUUGGCUGGCCACGUUUGCUUCUCCAGGGUCCUGUUCCUCCAGCACAGCCACGUUCCCUGGCAGUUCUCUGGGUGCAGAUUGGUCCCCUCUCUGUAAAUACCUGGAAUCCAGAUCAUUUCCAACUUCUCCAGCCUCCAUCCCUCACUCCCAGUGUACCUGGGCUCUGGAGCCCUCCCAAAACCCAGCAAAAUGAGCAGGAAAAGGCUAAAGAGAGACCCAGCGUGGAGCUGGGAUGGGUCUGCUUCUCUCAGGGAAUGGAAUGAGUGUCAUUUUUCCCUUCUGAUUUUUCAGACUGUGCUCACAGAAUCACAGAAUGGUCGCUGUUGAGAAAGACCAUCAAGUUCAACCUUAAAUGUUUCACUGGUGUAGAAAUGAAAAAUGAACUCCAAACCACUCUGAUCUGGAGGAUUCCAGCCUAGUUCUGUUUGGAAUUGAGCAGAAGUUUCAAGUAAUUCAUGUCUGAAAUGUCUUCAUAACUUUUGCCUCAUAAAACCAGGAAAGGAUGUAAAGUAACACCAAAAUUUUCCAUUUUGGAAAGGAAGUUUCUCCUUCCUGGCAGUGAGGAUAAAGGAAAUUUUCUGUGUUUCAAGAGGAUUGUCAGUGGCUAUUUAAAUGUUAGCACAUCUUAAUCUGCCCACCCUCAAGCACUGCUCUGAUGGGAAGUUGGUGAUUUAUGGGAUUGGAUUUGAAUUGCUGUUCAGAAUUCAUGUCCUGGUUAGGAACACUGAAAGCUCCUGCACUCUCCUGUGGCUCCCCAAAGCCAAGGCUGGGCAGGCUCUGCCCUCUGGAAGUGCCUCUGGUGGCUGGGGCUGCCUGAUGUGACCCUGCUGCUGGAGCUACCACGUGUGAAUGGAAAAGCUGAGGAGGAAACACCAGGAGGGUUUUAUCCUCCCUGAGUGCUCUCAUGGGUUUGCCCAUCUUUUACUUGUUCCUCUCUUCUCCAAAAUGCCUUUUUUUGUUGUUGUUGUUUUUUUCCCCUCAAAGAGCAUGAAAAGGAAAAUUGCUAAUGAGUCAAACCACCAGAAAAGGGAAGGGAUGUGCUGAGGACAAGGAUUUUUCUCCAUGGCCCACGGAGUCUCCAGCAGCAUUGCCCCGCACUCAUCAGCCCUCCCUAAUUAAAUUAACGGCCUGCAAUUAACACACAGCCCAGCAUCACUCUUUUAAUUCAUCUUCUGGCUCUCCAAACUGAAUUGCUUU